rnacentral:rRNA from 1 species
ACACGUGGGAACAUACCCUUUGGUUCGGAAUAACUCAGGGAAACUUGAGCUAAUACCGGAUAAGUCGGCAACGAGAAAGAUUCAUCGCCGAAGGAUUGGCCCGCGUCCGAUUAGCUAGUUGGUGUGGUAAUGGCGCGCCAAGGCGACGAUCGGUAGCUGGUCUGAGAGGAUGAUCAGCCACAUUGGGACUGAGACACGGCCCAAACUCCUACGGGAGGCAGCAAUGGGGAAUAUUGGACAAUGGGCGCAAGCCUGAUCCAGCCAUGCCGCGUGAGUGAUGACGGCCCUAGGGUUGUAAAGCUCUUUCACCCACGACGAUAAUGACGGUAGUGGGAGAAGAAGCCCCGGCUAACUUCGUGCCAGCAGCCGCGGUAAUACGAAGGGGGCUAGCGUUGUUCGGAUUUACUGGGCGUAAAGCGCACGUAGACGGAUCUUUAAGUCAGGGGUGAAAUGCCGGAGCUCAACUUCGGAACUGCCUUUGAUACUGGAGAUCUUGAGUUCGGGAGAGGUGAGUGGAAUUGCGAGUGUAGAGGUGAAAUUCGUAGAUAUUCGCAGGAACACCAGUGGCGAAGGCGGCUCACUGGCCCGAUACUGACGCUGAGGCGCGAAAGCUAGGGGAGCAAACGGGAUUAGAUACCCCGGUAGUCCUAGCCGUAAACGAUGGGCACUAGGUGUGGGAGGUAUUGACCCCUUCUGUGCCGCAGCUAACGCAUUAAGUGCCCCGCCUGGGGAGUACGGCCGCAA